rnacentral:rRNA from 1 species
GUAAGCUGCAGCUUGCUCUGGGCGUCGGACGAUGAACCGGUGCUUGUUCGGGGAUUAGUGGCGAACGGGUGAGUAACACGUGAGUAACCUGCCCUUGACUCUGGGAUAAGCCUGGGAAACUGGGUCUAAUACCGGAUAUGACUGACCGUCGCAUGGUGGUUGGUGGAAAGCUUUUGUGGUUUUGGAUGGACUCGCGGCCUAUCAGCUUGUUGGUGAGGUAAUGGCUUACCAAGGCGACGACGGGUAGCCGGCCUGAGAGGGUGACCGGCCACACUGGGACUGAGACACGGCCCAGACUCCUACGGGAGGCAGCAGUGGGGAAUAUUGCACAAUGGGCGCAAGCCUGAUGCAGCGACGCCGCGUGAGGGAUGACGGCCUUCGGGUUGUAAACCUCUUUCAGUAGGGAAGAAGCCGUAAGGUGACGGUACCUGCAGAAGAAGCGCGGCUAACUACGUGCCAGCAGCCGCGGUAAUACGUAGGGCGCAAGCGUUAUCCGGAAUUAUUGGGCGUAAAGAGCUCGUAGGCGGUUUGUCGCGUCUGCCGUGAAAGUCCGGGGCUCAACUCCGGAUCUGCGGUGGGUACGGGCAGACUAGAGUGAUGUAGGGGAGACUGGAAUUCCUGGUGUAGCGGUGAAAUGCGCAGAUAUCAGGAGGAACACCGAUGGCGAAGGCAGGUCUCUGGGCAUUAACUGACGCUGAGGAGCGAAAGCAUGGGGAGCGAACAGGAUUAGAUACCCUGGUAGUCCAUGCCGUAAACGUUGGGCACUAGGUGUGGGGGACAUUCCACGUUUUCCGCGCCGUAGCUAACGCAUUAAGUGCCCCGCCUGGGGAGUACGGCCGCAAGGCUAAAACUCAAAGGAAUUGACGGGGGCCCGCACAAGCGGCGGAGCAUGCGGAUUAAUUCGAUGCAACGCGAAGAACCUUACCAAGGCUUGACAUGAACCGGACCGCUGCAGAAAUGUGGUUUCCCCUUUGGGGCUGGUUUACAGGUGGUGCAUGGUUGUCGUCAGCUCGUGUCGUGAGAUGUUGGGUUAAGUCCCGCAACGAGCGCAACCCUCGUUCUAUGUUGCCAGCACGUGAUGGUGGGGACUCAUAGGAGACUGCCGGGGUCAACUCGGAGGAAGGUGGGGACGACGUCAAAUCAUCAUGCCCCUUAUGUCUUGGGCUUCACGCAUGCUACAAUGGCCGGUACAAAGGGUUGCGAUACUGUGAGGUGGAGCUAAUCCCAAAAAGCCGGUCUCAGUUCGGAUUGGGGUCUGCAACUCGACCCCAUGAAGUCGGAGUCGCUAGUAAUCGCAGAUCAGCAACGCUGCGGUGAAUACGUUCCCGGGCCUUGUACACACUUCCCGUCA